UUUAUUGGAGAGUUUGAUCCUGGCUCAGGAUGAACGCUGGCGGCGUGCCUAAUACAUGCAAGUCGAGCGAAUGGAUUAAGAGCUUGCUCUUAUGAAGUUAGCGGCGGACGGGUGAGUAACACGUGGGUAACCUGCCCAUAAGACUGGGAUAACUCCGGGAAACCGGGGCUAAUACCGGAUAACAUUUUGAACCGCAUGGUUCGAAAUUGAAAGGCGGCUUCGGCUGUCACUUAUGGAUGGACCCGC
rnacentral:rRNA from 1 species